rfam:Candidatus Gottesmanbacteria bacterium RIFCSPLOWO2_01_FTLL_43_11b rifcsplowo2_01_scaffold_30, whole genome shotgun sequence.
GCCCGGAUAGUUUAGUGGCAAAACGUUCCCUUGGUAAGGGAAUGAGCGGGGGUUCGAUUCCCCCUCCGGGCU